UACGUAGGGUGCAAGCGUUAUUCGGAAUUACUGGGCGUAAAGCGCACGUAGGCGGCUUUGUAAGUUAGAGGUGAAAGCCUGGAGCUCAACUCCAGAAUUGCCUUUAAGACUGCAUCGCUUGAAUCCAGGAGAGGUGAGUGGAAUUCCGAGUGUAGAGGUGAAAUUCGUAGAUAUUCGGAAGAACACCAGUGGCGAAGGCGGCUCACUGGACUGGUAUUGACGCUGAGGUGCGAAAGCGUGGGGAGCAAACAGG
rnacentral:rRNA from 1 species